UACGUAGGGGGCAAGCGUUGUCCGGAUUUAUUGGGCGUAAAGAGCGUGUAGGCGGCCAGGUAGGUCUGCUGUGAAAACUCGAGGCUCAACCUCGAGACGUCGGCGGAAACCAUCUGGCUAGAGUCCGGAAGAGGAGAGUGGAAUUCCUGGUGUAGCGGUGAAAUGCGCAGAUAUCAGGAAGAACACCCGUGGCUAAGGCGGCUCUCUAGUACGGUACUGACGCUGAGACGCGAAAGCGUGGGGAGCAAACAGG
rnacentral:rRNA from 1 species